rnacentral:rRNA from 1 species
GUGUCAGCAGCCGCGGUAAUACGUAGGGGGCAAGCGUUGUCCGGAUUUAUUGGGCGUAAAGAGCUCGUAGGCGGUUCGGUAAGUCGGCUGUGAAAUCUCCACGCUCAACGUGGAGGGGUCAGUCGAAACUGCCGUGACUCGAGUCCGGUAGAGGAGUGUGGAAUUCCCGGUGUAGCGGUGAAAUGCGCAGAGAUCGGGAGGAACACCCGUAGCGAAGGCGGCACUCUGGGCCGGUACUGACGCUGAGGAGCGAAAGCGUGGGGAGCAAACAGGAUUAGAUACCCUGGUAGUCCACGCCGUAAACGUUGGGCACUAGGUGUGGGGCUCUAUCGACGGGUUCCGUGCCGUAGCUAACGCAUUAAGUGCCCCGCCUGGGGAGUACGGCCGCAAGGCUAAA